rnacentral:rRNA from 1 species
AUAUCCAAAUAGCGGAGGAAAAGAAACCAACAGGGAUUGCCCUAGUAACGGCGAGUGAAGCGGCAACAGCUCAAAUUUGAAAUCUGGCUUCGGCCCGAGUUGUAAUUUGCAGAGGAAGCUUUAGGCGCGGCACCUUCUGAGUCCCCUGGAACGGGGCGCCAUAGAGGGUGAGAGCCCCGUAUAGUUGGAUGCCUAGCCUGUGUAAAGCUCCUUCGACGAGUCGAGUAGUUUGGGAAUGCUGCUCAAAAUGGGAGGUAAAUUUCUUCUAAAGCUAAAUACCGGCCAGAGACCGAUAGCGCACAAGUAGAGUGAUCGAAAGAUGAAAAGCACUUUGAAAAGAGGGUUAAAUAGCACGUGAAAUUGUUGAAAGGGAAGCGCUUGUGACCAGACUUGCGCCGGGCGGAUCAUCCGGUGUUCUCACCGGUGCACUCCGCCCGGCUCAGGCCAGCAUCGGUUCUCGCGGGGGGAUAAAGGUCCUGGGAACGUAGCUCCUCCGGGAGUGUUAUAGCCCGGGGCGUAAUGCCCUCGCGGGGACCGAGGUUCGCGCAUCUGCAAGGAUGCUGGCGUAAUGGUCAUCAGCGACCCGUCUAAAAACCGGG